UACGGGGGGGGGGCAAACGUUGUUCGGAAUUACUGGGCGUAAAGCGCACGUAGGCGGCUUUGUAAGUUAGAGGUGAAAGCCCGGGGCUCAACUCCGGAAUUGCCUUUAAGACUGCAUCGCUAGAAUUGUGGAGAGGUAAGUGGAAUUCCGAGUGUAGAGGUGAAAUUCGUAGAUAUUCGGAAGAACACCAGUGGCGAAGGCGACUUACUGGACACAUAUUGACGCUGAGGUGCGAAAGCGUGGGGAGCAAACAGGG
rnacentral:rRNA from 1 species